UUAAAUCACCAUUAUCGUCUC
rnacentral:piRNA from 1 species